rnacentral:rRNA from 1 species
CCUCAGCUUAAGAAAAACCGUACCGUAAACCGACACUGGUAGGCAGGGUGAGAAUCCCAAGGCGCUUGAGAGAACUCGGGUGAAGGAACUAGGCAAAAUGGCACCGUAACUUCGGGAGAAGGUGCGCCCUUUGACGUGGUCACAUGCGUGACUGAGCGUUGAAGGGUCGCAGUAACCUGGCCGCUGCGACUGUUUAUCAAAAACACAGCACUCUGCAAACACGAAAGUGGACGUAUAGGGUGUGACGCCUGCCCGGUGCUGGAAGGUUAAUUGAUGGGGUCAGCCGCAAGGCGAAGCUCUUGAUCGAAGCCCCAGUAAACGGCGGCCGUAACUAUAACGGUCCUAAGGUAGCGAAAUUCCUUGUCGGGUAAGUUCCGACCUGCACGAAUGGCGUAACGACAGCGGCGCUGUCUCCACCCGAGACUCAGUGAAAUUGAAUUCGCUGUGAAGAUGCAGCGUUCCCGCGGCAAGACGGAAAGACCCCGUGAACCUUUACUAUAGCUUUACACUGAACGUUGAGUUCUUCUGUGUAGGAUAGGUGGGAGGCUUUGAAGCGCAGACGCCAGUUUGCGUGGAGCCAACCUUGAAAUACCACCCUGAAGUGCUUGACGUUCUAACCUCGGCCCGUAAUCCGGGUCAGGGACCGUGUAUGGUGGGUAGUUUGACUGGGGCGGUCUCCUCCCAAAGAGUAACGGAGGAGCACGAAGGUACGCUCAGCGCGGUCGGACAUCGCGCACUGUGUGCAAUGGCAUAAGCGUGCUUGACUGCGAGAUCGACGGAUCAAGCAGGUACGAAAGUAGGUCAUAGUGAUCCGGUGGUUCUGUAUGGAAGGGCCAUCGCUCAACGGAUAAAAGGUACUCCGGGGAUAACAGGCUGAUACCGCCCAAGAGUUCAUAUCGACGGCGGUGUUUGGCACCUCGAUGUCGGCUCAUCACAUCCUGGGGCUGUAGCCGGUCCCAAGGGUAUGGCUGUUCGCCAUUUAAAGUGGUACGCGAGCUGGGUUCAGAACGUCGUGAGACAGUUCGGUCCCUAUCUGUCGUGGGCGUUGGAGAUUUGAGGGGGGCUGCUCCUAGUACGAGAGGACCGGAGUGGACGUUCCGCUGGUGUUCGGGUUGUCAUGCCCAUGGCAUUGCCCGGUAGCUAUGAACGGAAGUGAUAACCGCUGAAAGCAUCUAAGCGGGAAGCACGCCCCAAUGAGAUCUCCCGAGAGCUUGACUCUCCUAAAGGCACCAUCAAGACCAGGUGGUUGAUAGGUCAGGUGUGGAAGCGCAGCAAUGCGUUGAGCUAACUGAUACUAAUGAGCCGUGCGGCUUGACCG